GAGACGCCCCUAUCUUCGCCCACUCGGCCGCCACGUGGUGGCCGAGCGAGGGCCUCGGGGUAACUC
rfam:Oryza sativa Japonica Group DNA, chromosome 12, cultivar: Nipponbare, complete sequence.